rnacentral:rRNA from 1 species
CCUANGGGAGGCUGCAGUGGGGAAUAUUGGACAAUGGGGGCAACCCUGAUCCAGCAAUGCCGCGUGAGUGAUGAAGGCCUUAGGGUUGUAAAGCUCUUUUGCCAGGGAAGAUGAUGACUGUACCUGGAGAAUAAGCCCCGGCUAACUUCGUGCCAGCAGCCGCGGUAAUACGAAGGGGGCUAGCGUUGUUCGGAAUUACUGGGCGUAAAGGGCGCGUAGGCGGCCGAUCAAGUCAGGUGUGAAAGUCCUGGGCUCAACCUGGGGACUGCACUUGAUACUGUUUGGCUUGAAUUCGGGAGAGGAUAGCGGAAUUCCCAGUGUAGAGGUGAAAUUCGUAGAUAUUGGGAAGAACACCGGUGGCGAAGGCGGCUAUCUGGACCGACAUUGACGCUGAGGCGCGAAAGCGUGGGGAGCAAACAGGAUUAGAUACCCCUNUANUC